AUCUGUGGGGAAUUCUAGACGGUCACAGAGAUCAGCAGUGAAGCAUGUUGUUUAAUUCGAUAAUCCACGACAAACCUUACCACUUCUUGCAUAUUAUUAAAAAAGGAAUUCCUUUUUUAAUAAAUACAGGUGUUGCAUGGCUGUCUUUAGUUCGUGUUGUGAAAUGUGUGGUUUAUUCCGUCAACGAACGAAACCCUUAUCUUUAAUUUAACGUACUUAAAGAAAUAUCUUUCGAUAUGAAAGAGUAAUUAGGAUUAAGACAAGUCCUCAUGACCCUUAUGGAGUGGGCUACAGACGUGCUAUAAAAAUUUCUACAAUAGGAUGCAAAGAUGAAAAUUUGAGCUAAUCCCUGAAAAGAAAUUUCAGUACAGAUAAGAGUCUGAAACUCGAUUCUUUGAAGA
rnacentral:rRNA from 1 species